rnacentral:rRNA from 1 species
AUGGGUCGUGUUGCAAGGGAGCUUCGCGUCAUACAUGAUGUUGUUUGUCAAAUGGACAUUCAAAACAGCAACAAUCAAGUAUAUGAGGGCUGGUUGGAGGAAGUACGGAAGGUAGCACAUGUGAUGGAAGACAUAGUGGAUGAGUACUUGUAUCUAAUUGAUCAGGAACAUGAUAUAUGGUGUUGCUUUUACCUGAAGCAAGGGUUCAUAAAACCAGGAUCUCUGCUUUAUUUGAACCAGAUAGCUUUCAAGGCGAAGGAAAUAGAGAAAGACCUUGCACACCUGUCAGAGAUGAAAAAUCGUUGGGUCCCCAUGAUACAGAACGAGGAUACUAGCAGCUCGAAUUACAUUGUCAAGAGGUCCCAAGAUCUAGAAAACAUUUCACGUUCCCUUAAUGAAGAAGAUUUAGUGGGGGUGGAUAAAAACAGAGAGAUACUUGAGCAGUGGUUGGCACGUGCUGUUUUGGAGUGCCCCGUGAUAGCACUGCUUGGAAUGGAAGGACUUGGUAAAACAACUUUAGCUGCAAAUGUCUAUAGGAAGCAGAGAGAGCAAUUCCAGUGCCAUGUGUGGGUCUCCAUUUCUCAAACUUAUUCUAGAGAGGAUGUCCUGAGGAAUACAAUCAACGAACUUUUCAAAGAUAAUGUCAGUGUUCUGUCUAACACCGCGGCGAUGGACAUCACAUGCCUUGAAGAGACACUGAAAAGAUUUCUGGAGCAACUUAAGUAUUUGAUCAUACUGGAUGACGUUUGGACUCCACAAGCAUUUGAUGACUUGUCUAGAGUGCUUAUUCAUAAUGACAACGGCAGCAGAUUGAUAAUUACCACAAGGGAAGUUGGUAGCCUCUUGCGUGUGCGUGAGAAAACUGUGGAAGAAUGGAGAAGAAUAAAUGACCAACUGAGUUGGGAGCUAAUUAAUAACUUGAGGCUUGAUCAGAUAAGGAAUAUUUUGCAUCUGAGCUUCAUCUACCUUCCAACACACUUGAAAAGUUGUUUCCUAUACUGCAGUUUAUUCCCAGAAGACUAUCUUUUCAAAAGGAAACAACUUGUACGGUUAUGGAUAGCAGAGGGAUUCAUUGAGGAGAGGGGUGAAAGCACAUUAGAAGAAGUGACAAAAGGCUAUCUAAAGGAGUUAAUUGAUAGAAACAUGCUACAACUUGUUAAAAGGAACUCAUUUGGUAGGACGAAGGAAUUCAGAAUGCAUGAUAUCUUACGAGAAUUGGCCGUUGAUUUGUGUCAAAAGGAUUGUUUUGGUGUUACAUAUGAGGAUAAAUGUGGGGGUUCCCUUGACAUGGACGGGCGUCGAUUGGUAAUGCAUAAGCUAAAGAAGGAUAUUCAGCACUCGUUUUCUAGUAUACACCAACUUCGAACCGUCAUUGUAGUGGAUGAUAACAUGCCAUCAUUCACUCUACUACCUCUGUUAUGUAAGAAGUCAAGAUAUAUGACAAUGCUAGAAUUAAGUGGCUUACCCAUUGAGAAGAUUCCAGAUGCCAUUGGAGAUCUUUUUAGUCUCUGCCAUUUAGGUUUGCGUAAUUCAAAAGUGAAGAUGCUCCCGAGGUCUAUUGAAAAGCUUUCAAAUUUGUUGACACUGGACCUUUAUAGGUCAGAUAUACAUUAUUUGCCUAGUGGGGUUGUCAACCUGAAGAAGCUUAGGCACUUAUUUGCUGAGCAAAUGAAUUAUCUAGAUUGGAGGGAUAUUCAUUCUCACAGUGGUAUGACUAUCCCCAUUGGUCUUGGGAAUCUAACAAACCUGCAAACCCUACGAACAUUGGAAGUGCAGGGUGAGUCAGUUAGACAUUUGGGGGAGCUGAGGCAACUGAGAAGCUUGAGGUUAUCAAAUGUAAAGGGAAUCUACUGUGGACGCAUCCGCGAGUCUCUAGUUCAUAUGCAGUAUUUGUCCAAGCUAUCUGUGAAUGCAAGUGAUGAGAACGAGGUUCUCUUGUUGAACGCCCUCCCGCCAAAUCUGCAAACGCUAUCGUUGAGAGGACGAUUAGAACAAGGGUCGUUGGAUGAGUCUCCUCUCUUCCAAUCUGAUGGAGGACAGAACUUGUGUGCAUUGGCUCUGUCUUGGUCACAACUGAGAAAAGACCCACUGCCAUCGCUUUCUUUGUUGUCGAACUUGACACUUCUACACUUCACCAGAGCGUACAACGGAGAGCAGCUGACAUUUCUCACGGGGCGGUUUCCCAAGCUAAAGAUUCUCUUUCUAAGAGACCUGCCUAAUCUGAACCAGCUAGAGAUAUAG